CGAGAAAACGUUUGCGAAUGUGCGAAAGCACGACAAGGUUAAUCCGAGUGGUUUCUGCUAAAGGAACCUUUUGUCAGUCCUAGAAACACUGAUGAAUAAGGGGUGGGCAAGUUCUGGUGUCAGCCGCCGCGGUAAAACCAGCACCUCAAGUGGUCAGGAUGAUUAUUGGGCCCAAAGCAUCCGUAGCCUGCUUUGUUAGUUUUCGGUUAAAUCUGUACGCUCAACGUACAGGCUGCCGGGAAUACUGCAGAGCUAGGGAGUGGGAGAGGUAGACGGUACUCGGUAGGAAGGGGUAAAAU
rnacentral:rRNA from 1 species